rnacentral:rRNA from 1 species
AGAGCACGUGGUGGAUGCCUUGGCGAUGAUAGGCGACGAAGGACGUGAUAGCCUGCGAUAAGCUUCGGGGAGCUGGCAAAUUAGCUUUGAUCCGGAGAUUUCCGAAUGGGGAAACCCACCGAAAGGUAUCGCAUGAUGAAUACAUAGUCAUGCGAGGCGAACCGGGUGAACUGAAACAUCUCAGUAGCUCGAGGAAAAGACAUCAACCGAGAUUCCGAAAGUAGUGGCGAGCGAAAUCGGAGAAGCCUGUUAGUGAUAGCACAAGACAUAACGGAACAGUUUGGAAAGACUGGCCAUAGCGGGUGAUAGCCCCGUACGUGAAAUGACCUGUGUGGUACUGAGCUAACGACAAGUAGGGCGGGACACGAGAAAUCCUGUCUGAAUAUGGGGGGACCAUCCUCCAAGGCUAAAUACUCAUCAUCGACCGAUAGUGAACUAGUACCGUGAGGGAAAGGCGAAAAGAACCCCGGGAGGGGAGUGAAAUAGAUCCUGAAACCGCGUGCUUACAAAAAGUAGGAGCCUCGUAAGGGGUGACUGCGUACCUUUUGUAUAAUGGGUCAGCGACUUACAUUCAGUGGCAAGGUUAACCGAAUAGGGAAGCCGUAGAGAAAUCGAGUCCGAAUAGGGCGAUCAGUCGCUGGGUGUAGACCCGAAACCAAGUGAUCUAUCCAUGGCCAGGAUGAAGGUGCCGUAACAGGUACUGGAGGUCCGAACCGACUAGUGUUGCAAAACUAGCGGAUGAGCUGUGGAUAGGGGUGAAAGGCUAAACAAACUUGGAAAUAGCUGGUUCUCUCCGAAAACUAUUUAGGUAGUGCCUCAAGUAUUACCAUCGGGGGUAGAGCACUGUUUUGGCUAGGGGGUCAUGGCGACUUACCAAACCAAGGCAAACUCCGAAUACCGAUGAGUACAGCUUGGGAGACAGAGCACCGGGUGCUAACGUCCGGACUCAAGAGGGAAACAACCCAGACCGCCAGCUAAGGUCCCUAAAAUUGGCUAAGUGGGAAACGAAGUGGGAAGGCUAAAACAGUCAGGAUGUUGGCUUAGAAGCAGCCAUCAUUUAAAGAAAGCGUAAUAGCUCACUGAUCGAGUCGUCCUGCGCGGAAGAUGUAACGGGGCUAAGCCAGUUACCGAAGCUGCGGAUUUGCAAUUUAUUGCAAGUGGUAGGAGAGCGUUCUGUAAGCCUGUGAAGGUGCGUUGUAAAGCGUGCUGGAGGUAUCAGAAGUGCGAAUGCUGACAUGAGUAGCGUUAAAGGGGGUGAAAAGCCCCCUCGCCGUAAGCGCAAGGUUUUCUACGCAACGUUCAUCGGCGUAGAGUGAGUCGGCCCCUAAGGCGAGGCAGAGAUGCGUAGCUGAUGGGAAACAGGUCAAUAUUCCUGUACCGUUAUAUAGUGCGAUGUGGGGACGGAUCUUAAUAGGUCAUCCGGGUGUUGGAUAUCCCGGUUUAGUUGGAUGUAGGCGUGCAUUAGGCAAAUCCGGUGCACAUAUACCGAGGCCAACGAUCGAGCGGACUUGUCCGUGAAGUGACUGAACGAGGUUCCAGGAAAAGCCACUAAGCUUCAGCUAUAUACGACCGUACCGCAAACCGACACUGGUGCGCGAGAUGAGUAUUCUAAGGCGCUUGAGAGAACUCAGGAGAAGGAACUCGGCAAAUUGACACCGUAACUUCGGAAGAAGGUGUGCCCUAUUAGUGUGUAGUGAACAACGAAGCAUGAAUGGGUUGCAAAAAAUCGGUGGCUGCGACUGUUUAUUAAAAACACAGCACUCUGCAAACACGAAAGUGGACGUAUAGGGUGUGACGCCUGCCCGGUGCUGGAAGAUUAAAUGAUGGGGUGCAAGCUCUUGAUUGAAGUCCCAGUAAACGGCGGCCGUAACUAUAACGGUCCUAAGGUAGCGAAAUUCCUUGUCGGGUAAGUUCCGACCUGCACGAAUGGCGUAACGAUGGCCACACUGUCUCCUCCUGAGACUCAGCGAAGUUGAAAUGUUUGUGAUGAUGCAAUCUCCCCGCGGAAAGACGGAAAGACCCCAUGAACCUUUACUGUAGCUUUGUAUUGGACUUUGAACAGAUCUGUGUAGGAUAGGUGGGAGGCUUUGAAGCAGGGUCGCUAGAUCUUGUGGAGCCAACGUUGAAAUACCACCCUGGUGUGUUUGAGGUUCUAACCUAGGUCCAUUAUCUGGAUCGGGGACA